GAAGAAGGAAGAAGAGGUUCUAGAGACACAGGAAGAAGAGAAGGGGAGGAGGAGGAGGAAGAAUAAGAUCUGGGGGAAAAGAAAUUCUUAAUCAUUCAUUAAACCCUAAUCAUGAAAAUAGUUUCCUAUAUAUAGGGCCCAAAUACACAACUUGCAUAAACCCCCCUUACACAGAAAUAAAUCCUAAUGAACCCACAAAUAACACAAAUAAGCCCUAAAAUGCAAAUAAGCCCAGAAAUAAAAUAAACCACAAAUAAACCCUAGAAUGCAAAUAAGCCCAAAAAUAAAAUAAUAAAAUAAAUAUGCAAAUAAACGAGUCUGGCUCAAUCCGGGGGCUCAGGAUCAUCUGGAUGAAGGGCUCUGAUGUCCCCAUCAC
rnacentral:lncRNA from 1 species